GCACUGAAAGUAAAUUUAAAGGUGCCUUUUAAUGCCACAGUUUCAAUGGAAAUUGUUUGUGAUCUUUCCUAUUCGCUCUACAUUCUGAAAAGGCCCAUAUGGGGAUAUAAGGCAUUUUUUUGCUGCACAACCUUUCAGUACAAAAUUUGCAUAGCGUAGCAGAAUAGCAUUGGUGGGACAUUGAUAUUGUAACAUGGUUUUGCUUGGCACCAAACAUUAUUUCAACUCUUGCUAGAAAUGUCUAAUGUAUUUCUCAUUUAUUCUCACAGCAAGAACCACAACCACGCACACCACCACAACACACUCCACAAAAUGUUUCUGUCGUCAUGGUAGAAACCAUUACAGACCAGGUCAAAGAAUAAGUAGUGAAAGCAGUGAAAGCGAUGGACUGUGCUGGAAUAUUGACUGUGCUGACAAUUGUCAGACUACAACAACUAAAGGGCCUUGUGAAUCGACAUCAUCGAAAACAACAAAAACUACAACACGUAAGUCGUUGGCACCAAACACACUUUUGCUUCGUUUUUACAACAUUCUUCCGAAAUGAUACAGCCAGAAUUGAUUAUUGUUUCUUGAGCUGAUGUACACCAAUAUGUUAGUGGCAAAUACAGAAAUAUGUAAAAAACAAAAAAGAUAUGCGGUUUUCCUUUCAACCUGUUUGUAUUGUGUUAAAGGAGAAAUUCACAUUUCAAUGAAGUUAUCAUAGGUUGUGAACGGCAUAUCGAGAUUUCCAAACAGCAGACUUGUUUUAGUUUAAUUACGUCCUAGCAACCAGAUAACAGUCAAAAUUCAAGCCAUUAGAAAGGUAGAAUUUUCAAUUUCAAAAAAAAGGAUGAAUUGCAAAUUGUCCGACAAUAAGGUCUCUUCAAUGCACUGAAAGUAAAUUUAAAGGUGCCUUUUAAUGCCACAGUUUCAAUGGAAAUUGUUUGGGAUCUUUCCUAUUCGCUCUACAUUCUGAAAAGGCCCAUAUGGGGAUAUAAGGCAUUUUUUUGCUGCACAACCUUUCAGUACAAAAUUUGCAUAGCGUAGCAGAAUAGCAUUGGUGGGACAUUGAUAUUGUAACAUGGUUUUGCUUGGCACCAAACAUUAUUUCAACUCUUGCUAGAAAUGUCUAAUGUAUUUCUCAUUUAUUCUCACAGCAAGAACCACAACCACGCACACCACCACAACACACUCCACAAAAUGUUUCUGUCGUCAUGGUAGAAACCAUUACAGACCAGGUCAAAGAAUAAGUAGUGAAAGCAGUGAAAGCGAUGGACUGUGCUGGAAUAUUGACUGUGCUGACAAUUGUCAGACUACAACAACUAAAGGGCCUUGUGAAUCGACAUCAUCGAAAA